GAUGAACGCUAGCGGCAGGCCUAACACAUGCAAGUCGAGGGGCAGCAUAAAUAAAGCUUGCUUUAUUGGUGGCGACCGGCGCACGGGUGAGUAACGCGUAUGCAACCUACCUUGUACAGGGGGAUAGCCCGAAGAAAUUCGGAUUAAUACCCCAUGGUAUUGUUUUACAGCAUUGUGGAAUAAUUAAAGAUUUAUCGGUACAAGAUGGGCAUGCGUCCUAUUAGCUAGAUGGUAAGGUAACGGCUUACCAUGGCGACGAUAGGUAGGGGGCCUGAGAGGGUAGUCCCCCACACUGGUACUGAGACACGGACCAGACUCCUACGGGAGGCAGCAGUGAGGAAUAUUGGUCAAUGGGCGCAAGCCUGAACCAGCCAUGCCGCGUGAA
rnacentral:rRNA from 1 species